GGAGGGGUCGGAUAAUGGUAUUCCGCCGCUCUUGAAAAGCGGUGUCCGAAAGGGCGUGUGGGUUCGACUCCCACCCCCUCCG
rnacentral:tRNA from 1 species